CGAAAGCGUGGGGAGCGAACAGGAUUAGAUACCCUGGUAGUCCACGCCGUAAACGGUGGAUGCUGGAUGUGGGGCCCGUUCCACGGGUUCCGUGUCGGAGCUAACGCGUUAAGCAUCCCGCCUGGGGAGUACGGCCGCAAGGCUAAAACUCAAAGAAAUUGACGGGGGCCCGCACAAGCGGCGGAGCAUGCGGAUUAAUUCGAUGCAACGCGAAGAACCUUACCUGGGCUUGACAUGUUCCCGACCGCGGCAGAGAUGUCGUUUCCCUUCGGGGCGGGUUCACAGGUGGUGCAUGGUCGUCGUCAGCUCGUGUCGUGAGAUGUUGGGUUAAGUCCCGCAACGAGCGCAACCCUCGCCCUGUGUUGCCAGCACGUCAUGGUGGGAACUCACGGGGGACCGCCGGGGUCAACUCGGAGGAAGGUGGGGAUGACGUCAGAUCAUCAUGCCCCUUACGUCCAGGGCUUCACGCAUGCUACAAUGGCCGGUACAACGGGAUGCGACACGGCGACGUGGAGCGGAUCCCUGAAAACCGGUCUCAGUUCGGAUUGGAGUCUGCAACCCGACUCCAUGAAGGCGGAGUCGCUAGUAAUCGCGGAUCAGCAACGCCGCGGUGAAUGCGUUCCCGGGCCUUGUACACACCGCCCGUCAAGUCAUGAAAGUGGGUAGCACCCGAAGCCGGUGGCCUAACCCUUUGUGGAUGGAGCCGUCUAAGGUGAGACUCGUGAUUGGGACUAAGUCGUAACAAGGUAGCCGUACCGGAAGGUGCGGCUG
rnacentral:rRNA from 1 species